GCGGCGUGCCUAAUACAUGCAAGUCGAACGCUUCUUUCCUCCCGAGUGCUUGCACUCAAUUGGAAAGAGGAGUGGCGGACGGGUGAGUAACACGUGGGUAACCUACCCAUCAGAGGGGGAUAACACUUGGAAACAGGUGCUAAUACCGCAUAACAGUUUAUGCCGCAUGGCAUAAGAGUGAAAGGCGCUUUCGGGUGUCGCUGAUGGAUGGACCCGCGGUGCAUUAGCUAGUUGGUGAGGUAACGGCUCACCAAGGCCGCGAUGCAUAGCCGACCUGAGAGGGUGAUCGGCCACACUGGGACUGAGACACGGCCCAGACUCCUACGGGAGGCAGCAGUAGGGAAUCUUCGGCAAUGGACGAAAGUCUGACCGAGCAACGCCGCGUGAGUGAAGAAGGUUUUCGGAUCGUAAAACUCUGUUGUUAGAGAAGAACAAGGACGUUAGUAACUGAACGUCCCCUGACGGUAUCUAACCAGAAAGCCACGGCUAACUACGUGCCA
rnacentral:rRNA from 1 species